UGCUGCAGCCAGCCACUGCACUCCGCCUGCGCAUCACCGGGAUCACCUCAACCACCUUGAAACGUUCUUCGUCGCCCCGUGCUCUGUGGGCUGUGUAUUUCUUGUCGACUGCGUAAACGCAAGGACUGAAGAUGAACGGUGCUCUACGAAAGGCCACCAGCGUUUUUCGAAGCGCUGUAAUGCAGACCCGUUCGACGUCGGUGAAUGCGUACGCGGUCUCGCUGCCGAAAGGCAUAAAGAUGUCGACCCCCGAAAAGGUGGUUCACAUCUCUGUUAUCGUAACCGCCAUUUUCGCUUACCCAGCGUGGGUACUCACUCACCUCAGGGAGUACAGAGGAAUCAAGGAUUAACUUACCGAGACCUGCACCAUGCCUGGCAUCCACUGGAAACCUGGGCAAGAGUCACCGCACGAAGCAUUAGCUAACAGAAUACAAUAAAAUGUAUUUGAGUACACAUGCAUUCAUUA
rnacentral:lncRNA from 1 species